GAGAGCGAAAGCGCGGCUAGGUUUUUUCUCACUUGAAUCUUUCUAUGGCUCAACAGGGACUCCUCUCUAGGUCGCCGCCGAGCGCCAGAGCUGGAUUCGUCGCGCCUCGCCAGAGAAUCGAAAUUCCAGCCAGAGCGAGCUUCGGGAGGACAAUGCGGCAGUGCGCUCCACUGAUUUCGCUCAUCCAUCCCAGGGCCAGCGCUUCUCUCGGGAUCGUGGAAGAUGGUGUCAAGGACGAGAGCGAGAAUUUGACCCUGGAUGCCAUCCGGGACUCGUUGAUCCAACAAGAGGAUAAUAUCAUCUUUAGCUUGAUCGAGCGAGCGCAGUACAAGAUGAAUACGCGGACGUAUGAUCCUAACAGGUUUCGCAUUCCUGGCUUUGAUGGCUCCCUGGUGGAGUUCAUGCUCAAAGAAACCGAGUGCCUCCAUGCCAAGGUCCGAAGAUACUGCUCCCCUGAUGAACACGCUUUUUUCCCAGAUGAUUUGCCGGAGCCUAUACUUCCUCCACUCGAGUAUCCCAAGGUGCUCCAUCAAGCGGCCAAAGCCAUCAACAUUAACACGAGGAUCUGGAAAAUGUACUAUAGCAACUUGCUGCCUUCCUUUGUAUCUGACGGGGAUGAUGGCAAUUAUGGCUCAACAGCGGCCUGUGACGUGAAGUGUCUCCAGGCCCUCUCGAAAAGAAUACACUACGGGAAGUUCGUUGCCGAGGCCAAGUUUCGUGAGUCACCACAUCUAUUCGAACCUCAUAUCCGAGCACAGGACCCGCAAGAAUUAAUGAGGCUGGUCACGUUUGAGAGCGUAGAGGCGAGCGUGCAAAAGCGCGUGGAGCACAAAGCAAGAACUUACGGGCAAGAGAUUGACGCAAAUGGAACCAAGCCGACUCCACUUUACAAAGUAGAACCCAAGCUCGUUGCUCGCCUCUACGGAGAUUGGGUGAUGCCUUUGACAAAGGACGUCCAAGUCGAAUACCUUCUGCGACGUCUCGAUUGACCAAAACCAUCUGUGAUCUCACAGCUUGACGGCACAUCUCUCUGAGCAAAAGUGAUUCAAACAGAAAUUCUUUCUUGUGCCCGUGUUCACUGGCAACGCGAGGCAGCGUUGCGGUUUCUGCGUCAACAUCCAAGUUUGUCAACUUCUGCAAGGUGACCACCAGAUUUUUAUAAGUUUGUUCUAACACACGCGGGCCUCUGUGGUACGAAGAAACAGGAAAGAAGAAGCCAAAAUUUUCCCACACUCGUCGGCGUCUGUCAAUUUUGCAUUGGAUCCAACCGACGCGCAGUCUACACUGCUCAACUUGAAAGGCUGGAUGCAACGACUCGGGACCAGCUGGUUUCGUCGUGGAACCUGGAAAUCCUGGAUGCAUCCUGAUUCCUGCCGCGGUAUCACAAAAUACUAUACAAGUUUUUAGUUCUCUACAAAGAAUGUGUCUA